CCUUAGCCCCGAUGGGAGUGGCAUCCUUUGCCUUUUUAACAAAAAAGGCGAAGAUAUAACGGACAGCGGGACCCAUG
rnacentral:sRNA from 1 species